rnacentral:tRNA from 1 species
UUUCUUAGAAGCUUGCAACAGCAAUGAAUUUUUACUUCAUAAACAGGGCUUGACCCCUAGGAAA